ensembl:lncRNA
UGUGAGAAAGGUCGAGGGCUGGGUGAGACGGGUGGAGAUUAGUGGGUGAUGAUUUGGACAGCGUCACACUGGUUCUGUAACCCAGCGACACUCACCCACUCUCUGUCACUGAGGUCUAUCUCUCUUUCUGUUUAUCUAUCUCUCUUUCUCUAGAUACUAUCUAUCUCUUUCUGUUUAUCUCUCUCUUUCUCUAUCUAGCUCUCUCUGUCUUUCUCUAGCUACUAUCUCUUUCUCUCUCUCUCUCGCUCUCUCUCUCUCUCUCUCAGCCACAGAGCAUGACCCCGCCCCUAACCUGACAUUAUAAGGACAGACCAACUGAUUAGCAUAUUCAUAUGUACAUCAUUAGCAUAUUCCUAUGUACAUCAUUAGCAUAUUCCUAUGUACACCAUUAGCAUAUUCCUAUGUACACCAUUAGCAUAUUCCUAUGUACACCAUUAGCAUAUUCCUAUGUACAUCAUUAGUAUAUUCCUAUGUACAUCAUUAGCAUAUUCCUAUGUACACCAUUAGCAUAUUCCUAUGUACACCAUUAGCAUAUUCCUAUGUACAUCAUUAGUAUAUUCCUAUGUACAUCAUUAGCAUAUUCCUAUUCCACAGACUAGACUGUGUAUGUUUAGCAAAGUAUCUCUACCACACACAGUCCCUCUCUUCUGUCUGCGUGUGUUUUAGCCUCAGCGUUUAAAUAGAACCCCCACUCUCUGUCAGGUCACUCUCUGUCAGGUCACUCUCUGUCAGGUCACUCUCUGUCUUCAAGACUGAGCAGCUGUGGGUGUGUCAGGUCACUCUCUGUCAGGUCAUUCUCUGUCAGGUCACUCUCUGUCUUCAAGACUGAGCAGCUGUGGGUGUGUCAGGUCACUCUCUGUCAGGUCACUCUCUGUUAGGUCACUCUCUGUCAGGUCACUCUCUCGUUAGGUCAUUCUCUGUUAGGUCACUCUCUGUCAGGUUACUCUCAUGUUAGGUCACUCUCUUGUUAGGUCACCUGACACAAACCAGUAGGUGAUGGUGUUAGGACUUAUUGAUGACUGUGGAUCAAUACCACCAAUGUUUCUAGACCCACUGAUGCACAGAGAGGAGGGACCGCGUGAUCCAACAACUUUUUAUAUUUAUGCUUCAGGAAAUGUUACUGCAGAUGAACUUUCCAGCUUUCCUCCACGAUGCUAUACACACAUUCAUAAUAACACACUUAUUAACAUAAGAAAAGAAGGGCAUUGAAGAUGCAAUGAUAUUUGUAAAUAAAUGCUUUCCUU